rnacentral:misc_RNA from 2 species
AACGCACCUUGCGCCCCUUGGCAUUCCGAGGGGCACACCCGUUUGAGUGUCGUGAAAUCCUCAAAAACCCUUUUCCUGUCAGGAAUGGGAUUUUUGGACUUGGAGGUUCAAUGCUUGCCUUUCACUUUUGAAAGUGAGCUCCUCUCAAAUGAAUUAGUGGGGUCCGCUUUGCUGAUCCUUAACGUGAUAAGAUGCUUCUACGUUUUGGAUCUAGCACUGUCCCUUGGAUGCCUGCUCCUAACUGUCCCACACGGACAAUGAUGGUGCUCUGGUCACCGCCAUCUACAUUGGCGGGAGGCUGGACCCACAAAACGAAAACCUUGACCUCAAAUCGGGUGAGACUACCCGCUGAACUUAA